UCACUUGCAAAUCAGUUAAAAACCUUUUCGUUACCUCUCUUGUAUGGGCAGAAAACUUCAGGCUGAUGUUGUAGAGAAAUUGCUCCUUUCCUAAGAGCUCAAAGCAACUGCAAAACAAGCUUAAGUAUUUCCCAGCCUUUUCCUAGACCUAUCUGUGAUAAGCCCUAAUCAUCACACAGCUGGUGCAAGAGUCCCCAGAUCACAUUUCAUUAGCAACUGAGUGAGUUCAGCCUUAUAUAUGUUGUGUCAUGAUGAAGCUAUAAAUCUUAUUGCUCCAUCAAAUCCACCUACAGCAGGCAAGGACUGAAAAUAAUUUUUUGUAUAUCUGAACAGUGGAGGCUGGCGUUUUGUAGUGACAUGACUUACAGCUCCACUGAUCUGCUGUAUCUUUCAUUCUCCUCAUCAAUUAAAAUCUUGACCUGUCUAGCUCAGACACUUAAGCACUGCAAAAUGAGAAAAUGCCAAAAUCAUAAAUCAUUUUAGAUCUACUGUUUCUCAGCAUAAUUCGAAAAUAUAUGGUAACAGCAUUAGCUGCAGAUGAGGAGGCACAUUUUGGUUGGGGAUUCAGCUGACAGCAAAGGAAGGGUCAGUAGAGGAGUGUACUGCAGUUGCUAGAUCUUCAUAGCCUGCCACUAUUGUCUGUUUUCUUCUGCUGUUUCACUUUUCUUUCCUCUGACAUUUCUGGACUAGCUCCUGCUCCUUUCACUUUUUUUUUCCCCUUCCCUGUUUUCUCCUUUCCAUCCAGUCACAUUUACUUCUUUUUCCCACCUGGUUCACACAGAAGGCA